rnacentral:lncRNA from 1 species
AGAAGAAAGUGAAUACACAUUCACACACAUAACCACAAAAUUAUACACAUAAUACGCAUUCCGUAUAAAAUACUUCAUAAUUAUGCGUUAGAAGAAAGUAACUACACACUCACGCAUAUAAACAACAAUAUACUUAAUACACUCAAACCAUACUUGUAUUAUUAUCGUGUUUAUGAAAGGUAGUAUACACUCACUUGAUCAGAAGAUGAUCGGACAGCACUACGACUUACAGAAGUAGUAAUCCUCAGCAGAUCUGGAAGAUCUCUACAAAAAUCGAACUUCUCGCGGGCAGAGCUUCAUCUCGGGAAUCGCACUUCUCGGGAUCUCGGGAGCGUGAAACUUCCUUCUUAAUUUGGAUAUGAGAUCCGGGGUGUCGAGAUGGCUUCGGGGGUUUACGCGUAGAGCUUCGGCACAAAAAGGAGAAGAAAUGAGCAAAAAUACCCGGAACCCUCGCAUCCUAUUUAAAGGAGGCUGGAGCCUCGGAGUACGCUGGACGUACGCGUCCGAAUCGUCAUGGCAUGCGUCAUCCGAAGAAAUCGAGUGCGAGGUGCGUCAUGCUUCGCGGUAUGUUGGGCGUACGCCAGUACGCUAGGUGUACUUCGGAUCAGAUCGGUGACUCCUUCGGAUAUACAUCCGAAUUAAAGAUUAAAUUUAAAUACAAAUUAUUUAAUAAACUUCGGAAAUUCAUAUCUUCUUCAUACGAACUCCGUUUUUGACGUUCUUUAUAUCCACGCGUAGGUGAGACUACGCUCUACAACUUUCGUUUAGACUCCGUCGGCUAAUUUUGACUUUAUUUUUAUUAAUUAUUUUUAAUAGGCCGGGACAGAAAAACUUCGUUAUAAAUUCAUAACUUCUUCGUUUGACGUCCGUUCUCGCCUAACUUUUCAUCGCUUCGAUACCAACAACGAGAUCUUCGAUUCUCGUUUAGAUCGAUUCGACUAAAAACCGCUCGAUCUCAAAUCGAGUAUUUCGGGCUGCAUACCGCUAAGUCGAAACUUCAGAAAAUCAUAACUUCCUCAUACGAAGUCAGAUUUGGGCGUUCUAUAUAUAUUCGGAAACCUCGUUUCAACUACUACAACAUUAACCAAAGAUAUUAAGUUUAUUUUACACUUAAAUUUUGACGCUUAUUUUUAUUCUUAAUUAAUCAAACCACAUAAUUAAGCAAUUAAGCACAAAACACAUAAUACUCAAAUAAUACAAUCUUAUUAUUUCAAAACGGGUUACAAAGGUUAACCUAGACUAUUACAUUGCUAAAAAUGGCAAGCCCGGAAACACAGGCGUUACAAUUCUCUCCACCUUAGAAUGAUUCCGUCCCCGGAAUCACACAUCAACAAACAAAUGCGGAUAGCGACUCAACAUGUCACUCUCCGUCUCCCAGGUGAGAUUCGGCCCAUUCGUGUGUUUCCAUCGGACAAGCACUAACCCAACCAUUUUGCGUCGCAACUUCUUAGUCUUUCGGUCAACAAUUGCCUCUGGUUCUUCAAUCAACCUUUUGUUCUCAUCAAUUCUCAAUUCAGAAAUUGGAAUUAUAUCGGGAACUUCUCCCGUGAACUUCCUCAAAUAACACACAUGAAAGGUGUUGUGAAUUCCAUUCAGUUCUUCGGGUAAUUCGAGCUUGUAAGCUUGAUUCCCAAUCCUCUGAAGGACUUUAAACGGUCCAAUAAACCUUGGACUCAACUUUCCCCUUUUACCAAAUCUUAUAAGUCCCUUCCACGGCGAGACUUUAAGCAAAACCGAAUCUCCAACCUCAAAAGUCAUCGGUCUUCGCUUCUUGUCAGCAUAGCUCUUUUGACGAUCUUGAGCUGCUAACAUUCUUUCCCUAAUUAUUUUCAACUUUUCAGCAGUUUGAUGAACCAUCUCCGGUCCCAUAAACUGCUUUUCCCCAGCCUCAAGCCAACAAGACGGCGUACGACACUUCUGUCCAUACAAAGCUUGAUAAGGUGCCAUCUUAAUGCUCGAGUGAAAACUAUUAUUAUAGGAAAAUUCUACCAACGGUAAAUGUUCAUCCCAAUUACCUAGGAAUUCCAAGGUACAUGCUCUCAGCAUAUCUUCAAGUGUUUGUAUUGUUCUUUCACUCUGACCAUCAGUCUGCGGAUGGUAAGCUGUGCUUAAACAUAACUUGGUACCCAUUUCCUCUUGUAGACUUUUCCAAAACCUUGAGGUGAAACGGCUAUCACGAUCCGAUACAAUCGUUAACGGAACACCGUGAAGCCUCACAAUUUCCUUCACGUAAGAAUUCGCAAGCUUUUCCAUAGACCAUUUCUCCCUGGCCGCUAUGAAAUGCGCACUCUUAGUGAAUCGAUCAACGACCACCCAAAUCAUGUCGUGACCAUUCUUUGUUCUGGGCAGUUUAGUGACAAAAUCCAUAGCAAUGUCUUCCCACUUACCCAUAGGCACAGGCAAUGGUUCUAAACUCCCGUAAGGUUUCUGAUGUUGUGUCUUGACUCUCGCACAAGUCACACACUCGGCCACAUACUUUGCAACAUCAAGCUUCAUCGUCGGCCACCAGUAGUAGGGUUUCAGGUCCCUAUACAUUUUAGUGCUACCCGGAUGAAUUGAGUACAUGGUUUUGUGAGCUUCUUCCAUCAGAAGAUCCCUAAUUCCUCCUGACUUAGGUACCCAAAUACGAUCUUGGAAUACCUUCAGUCCAUGACCGUUAGUACCAAACACCAACGUUUUACCCAAACGUUCCUCCUUUCGGUCAUUUUUCUCAGAAGCUUCCUCUUGAGCUUUCUUUAUACUUUCCACAAUAGUCGAGACAACUUCAAUUCUCAACGCUCUUGGCCUCUUCCUUUCAAGAUUGACUUUCCGACUGAGAGCAUCAGCAACAACAUUAGCUUUACCGGGGUGGUAAAGUAUCUCGCAGUCGUAGUCUUUAAGUAAUUCUAGCCAGCGUCGUUGCCUCAUAUUCAAUUCUUUCUGAUUAAAGAGGUAUUGGAGACUCUUAUGAUCAGUGAAAAGUUUGCACUUCGUGCCAUAGAGGUAAUGCCUCCAUAUUUUCAGAGCGAAAACUACCGCUGCCAACUCCAAAUCAUGAGUCGGGUAAUUCUUUUCAUGCUCUUUCAGCUGUCGAGACGCAUAUGCUAUCACCUUUUCUCUUUGGGUCAAAACACAACCCAAUCCAACACCAGACGCAUCGCUAUAAACAGCGAAGUCUUCAACUCCAUCGGGUAGAGAAAGUAUCGGUGCCUCGCAUAGCUUCUUCUUUAACUUCUCGAAUGCUUCUUUAUGCUUCUCACUCCAAGCAUAAGUAGCUCCUUUGUGGGUCAAAGCUGUUAAUGGAGUAGCAAUCGAAGAAAAGCCUUGGAUAAACCUUCGGUAAUAUCCGGCUAAUCCUAAAAAGCUUCGAAUCUCCGUGGGACUUUUCGGUUGUUCCCACUUCGUCACAGCUUCGAUCUUCGCUGGAUCAACCAUUAUCCCUUCUUGGUUGACCACGUGACCCAAGAAUUGGACCUCACGAAUCCAAAAAUCACAUUUGGAGAACUUCGCAUAAAGCUUCUCCUUCUUCAAAACUUCUAACACUUCUCGCAAGUGUCUGCCAUGCUCCUCCUGGCUUUUCGAGUAGAUCAGAAUGUCGUCUAUGAACACUAUCACGGAUUUAUCAAGGAAAGGAUUACAAACCCUAUUCAUCAAAUCCAUGAACGCUGCUGGAGCAUUGGUUAGUCCAAACGACAUAACCAAGAACUCGUAGUGUCCAUAUCUAGUUCUGAAUGCAGUCUUCUCGAUAUCUUGCUCUCUUACUUUCAGCUGAUGAUAUCCUGACCUAAGAUCGAUCUUCGAGAAAUAGCUCGAACCUUGCAAUUGAUCAAACAGGUCAUCAAUCCUCGGCAACGGAUAUCUAUUCUUUAUUGUUGCCUUGUUCAGCUCUCUGUAAUCGAUGCACAUUCUCAUACUUCCAUCUUUCUUCUUUACAAAUAACACCGGAGCUCCCCAGGGCGAUGAACUAGGUCUAAUGAAACCUUUGUCCAAUAACUCCUGAAGUUGCAUCAUCAGCUCCUUCAUCUCCGUCGGUGCUAAUCGAUAAGGUGCUUUUGCUAUUGGCGUGGUUCCUGGUAACAAGUCUAUUCUGAACUCCACUUGUCUAUCAGGUGGUAAUCCAGGAAGAUCCUCGGGAAAUACUUCCGGAUAAUCACACACCACUGGAAUACUCUGCAUCACCUUCUUUUCUUUCUUAGCAUCAAUCACGAAUGCUAAAUAUGAUGUACAUCCCUUGGUCAAACACUUUCUGGCUUUCAUUAGAGAAAUGAUUCCAGAAUUCACUCUGCGUUUGUCCCCAUACACCAUAAACGAAUCUUUCCCAGGCGGGUUUACUUUAACUAUCUUCUUCUUGCACAAAAUUUCGGCAUCAUUGGCGCUAAGCCAAUCCAUUCCCAAGACGAUGUCGAAACCAUUUAGUUCGAUAGGCAAUAAUUCCUCGAGAAACUUAUUCCCAUUAAGGUCGAUCAAGACGUUUUUCAUACGAUGGCUAACAGGUACAAACUUGCCACUAGCUACUUCGACUAAUAAAGCAUUAUCUAGUCUAUCAACAGGCAAAGCUAGCUUUCUACCAAACUCAUGCGAAAUAAAGGAGUAGUUGGCUCCAGAAUCAAACAAUAUAUGAGCAGGUAAUUCGUUUACGAGAAAGGUACCUGAAGCGACAUCAGCUUCAUCUUUCGCAGCCUCAAGUGUCAUCUGGAAGGCUCUCGCCUUCGGCUUUGGUGGAAUGUUGGGCCUAGCUGCCUCCUUCUUCUUCGGACAGUCUUUCAAAAUAUGCCCCUCUUCAUUACAACCAAAACACAUCCUUUUGUUGUUCGGACAUUCAUUGGCAAAAUGUCCAACCUUUCCACACUUGUAGCAGGUCACAUCCUCGCUACAUUUCCCAAAGUGCUUUUUCUUACACUUAUCACACCACUUUGCUUCGCCUCCUUUUCCUCCAAACUUUUUCGAAUCAGAUUUCGAAAAUUUGCUCUUCUUACUGGAACCAGAUGUUCCUUCAAACUUCCUUUUCUCACCAACCUCAACCUUGACGGUGGUUCUCCCCUUGAUCAUGUUCUCCACAGACUUGGCAGCCCAGAUAGCUGCCUCUAGAGUAAGUGCCUGACGUACUGGCACCUCGUACUCCCAUGGAAGUCCCUUCGCAUACCGAUCCACCUUUGUCAGCUCGUCUGGAACGAUACGCAAGGCAAACUCCAUCUUAUCGGUGAAGUUAUUGGUGUACUCAUCCACUGACAUGCUACCCUUCGUCAAUGUCAAAAACUUGUUCUCCAACUCCAACAGAUUUUGAGCCGAGCAGAACUUGCGCUUGAACUGCACCAAGAACUCUGCCCAUGACAAUUGCAGUGGCUCAUUAGGGCUUAAGGUCUUCCCUAGAGUGUUCCACCAACGAACGGCUCCACCUCGGAAUUGACGCACGGCAUAGAUAGUCUGCAACUUACCUCUGCAGCCACAAGUCAUGAAGGCUAACUCCAUUUCGGAGAUCCAAUCCAUAACCCCAAUCGGAUCCUCCUUUCCAUUGAAGGUCGAUGGUUUGCAAGUUAGAAAGUCCUUGUACUUGCAUCCCAUUCCAUCAUUCCUUCCAUCAUGGUUAUCUUGCCUAACUAUCGGUGGGUUGGCUUGACCAACAGACCCACUGAAGUUUCCACCUUCCGAGUGCCCUUCAUUUAAUUCAGGCUCUUCCACACGAAUUGACAGUUCUUCACGAUUCUGUUGAAGCAACCGUCUAGUUUCAUCCAUCUGACGAUCCAACAUCGUCUGAAUCAUCAUUUGCACACCAGCCAUGGUUAUUGGCUCAGGUGCUGCUGCUACGACAGGUAUUUGCUCAAUCACUGGUGGUUGAUUCCUGUUUUCGUCAGCAUUUCCAACUCCACUUCUUGUUCUCACCAUUUUGAUCUACACCGAAUAAGGUGAAAUUAGAUCCUCAAUCAUGAUAGAUAUUCAAAUCAUCCUUAUCACUCCGAAACGUUUACAUGCUAGUUCUAAUAUCGUAGACGUACGCUUAGAAUCCUACACACAUAAGGUUUCUAGAUCCGGUCGGCAACAGACCAUAGAUCCGAACAAAUAAUAUCAUAUAUGGCAACAUAUAACAUUUAGCACAUAAAGCAUUUUAGGCAACUUUCCUAAAAUAAACUAGUGCUCGUGUCUAAAACACAACAGACACACAUCUCAAAAUUUCACUUAGCAUUCUAAGUUUAAGUCUAGAAAUCCUACAAAUUCCUAGUUCGCUUAAACUAAUGCUCUGAUACCAACUGUGACAUCCCCAAAAUCUCGGCCAGAAAAGACCGAUUUUCAUUUAUGCUUUUAAAAUAAUUUCAGAGUAAAUCCUUUUGAUUUGAAAGAGUUGCGGAAUUUGUUCCCAAAAACAAAACAUGAUAAAACAAUGUUUACCAAAGCAUUUCAUAAAAGAAAUGUAUUUUCAUUAUAUAAUCAAAACUCGGGAUGUCAUGUUCCGAUACAGACCAUAAAGCAUAAACGAUAACAUUACAAGUCAUUCAACAAAUAUAUACAUAUACAGACUUGUAAACAAAACAACUUGAUGGUUCAUCCAUCUUAUGCCCUUGCGCCACUUCCUGUAAUACAAAUAAAACUGAGUGGGUCAGGCUUGGGAGCCUGGUGAGCAUAUAGGGUUUUCAACCCACAAUAAAUAUCAUAUUUAAUUUUCACCAACCAACAAUAACCCAAUUACCCAUUCCCGUUAUUCUCACUUUAAUGUCCCUAAGACAACUAACAUAAGGGACCUAGUCUAAGAAUAUUUCAUCGGGGCGACAACACAUGCUUCGGGGGUUCCUCAGCAAUAUAAGUCAAAUAAGGCAACCAUGAGGGGGAUGGAGUACAGCGAAUGAACACCCAAGUUCAUUAACACCUACAGGUGGCGAGCCUGCUAGUGUUCCACAAGACUGUCUAGAAAAGUCUGUGGUCGUCAUCUAAACUCCGCUAGAUGACUGAAUCAAAACAACAACGAGGCCUCUCAUCUGUUUAUUACACACCAACUAUCUACCCAUGUUCUACCCAACAUAUUAGUAGAUAAAAUAUACAUUUUUAUACAUAGUUUUAAAACCUGUAUAGCAUGCUCAAUCAAUACAUUUUCCACAUAACAGAUGAGGCACACACACAUAACAAGUAUUUCAUAGAGAAAUAAUCAAAUCUAUAAGAUAGAAGAAAGUGAAUAUACAUUCACAUACAUAACAACAAAAUAUACACAUAACACGUAAUUUAUAUAAAAUACUUUAUAAUUAUGCGUUAGAAGAAAGUAACCACACACUCACGCAUAUAAACAACAAUAUACUUAAUACACUCAAACCAUACUUGUAUUAUUAUCGUGUUUAUGAAAGGUAGUAUACACUCACUUGAUCAGAAGAUGAUCGGACAGCACUACGGCUUACAGAAGUAGUAAUCCUCAGCAGAUCUGGAAGAUCUCUACAAAAAUCGAACUUCUCGCGGGCAGAGCUUCGGCUCGGGAAUCGCACUUCUCGGGAUCCCGGGAGCAUGAAACUUCCUUCUUAAUUUGGAUAUGAGAUCCGGGGUGUCGGGAUGGCUUCGGGGGUUUACGCGCAGAGCUUCGGCACAAAAAGGAGAAGAAAUGAGCAAAAAUACCUAGAACCCUCGCAUCCUAUUUAU